UGAUGUGCAAAGUUGCCACCGAAGAGGCGCAUGAACUGAGCCAGGUCUGAGUCAUGGAAAUACUGCUCCAGGAACUAUGGAGGGAGUCAGAGCAGAGAUCGUGGGUCCGAGGGUCCUCCCACAUAGUGAUGAAACUCAGCCCCAGGGAGCAGCAGCUCUGCUUGUCUGGAGGUCAGAGAACAGAGGUCAGAAAGCUCAAAACGGAACAGAAGAAGCUACCUCUGAGCAUCCCUGGGCAGUCAGUCACUGUCUCCCCAUGCAUUAGCUCCCACCCACAAGCCCCAGCAAGCUCUCAACUCCCUCCCAUCCAUCUCAC
rnacentral:lncRNA from 1 species